UACGGAGGAUGCGAGCGUUAUCCGGAUUUAUUGGGUUUAAAGGGUGCGUAGGCGGUCCGUUAAGUCAGCGGUAAAAUUGCGGGGCUCAACCCCGUCGAGCCGUUGAAACUGGCUUGCUAGAGUGGGCGAGAAGUAUGCGGAAUGCGUGGUGUAGCGGUGAAAUGCAUAGAUAUCACGCAGAACCCCGAUUGCGAAGGCAGCAUGCCGGCUUCCGACUGACGCUGAAGCACGAAAGCGUGGGUAUCGAACAGG
rnacentral:rRNA from 1 species